rnacentral:rRNA from 1 species
UGGGGAAUUUUGGACAAUGGACGCAAGUCUGAUCCAGCCAUGCCGCGUGCGGGAAGAAGGCCUUCGGGUUGUAAACCGCUUUUGUCAGGGAAGAAACGAGUUUCUCUAAUACAGAGACUUAAUGACGGCACCUGAAGAAUAAGCACCGGCUAACUACGUGCCAGCAGCCGCGGUAAUACGCAGGGUGCGAGCGUUAAUCGGAAUUACUGGGCGUAAAGCGUGCGCAGGCGGUUAUAUAAGACAGAUGUGAAAUCCCCGGGCUCAACCUGGGACCUGCAUUUGUGACUGUAUAGCUAGAGUACGGUAGAGGGGGAUGGAAUUCCGCGUGUAGCAGUGAAAUGCGUAGAUAUGCGGAGGAACACCGAUGGCGAAGGCAAUCCCCUGGGCCUGUACUGACGCUCAUGCACGAAAGCGUGGGGAGCAAACA